rnacentral:rRNA from 1 species
CCGCAGUAUUUUGACUGUGCUAAGGUAGCAUAAUCAUUAGUUUUUUUAUUGAAAACUGGAAUGAAAGGGUUGUUGAAAAAUUAACUGUUUUUAUUAUAUUAAUAGAAGUUUAUUUUUAAGUUAAAAAGCUUAAAUAAUUUUAAAAGACGAGAAGACCCUAUAGAGUUUUAUAUUUUUAAUAUUAAAAUAAAUUUAGUAUUUAAAUAUGUUUAGAUAUAUUAAUAUUUAAUUGGGGUGAUUGAAAAAUUUAAUUAACUUUUUUUUUAACUUUAUAUUAAUAAAUAAAUUUUUGAUCCAUUAUUAAUGAUUAUAAGAUUAAAUUACCUUAGGGAUAACAGCGUAAUUUUAUUGGAGAGUU